rnacentral:rRNA from 1 species
CUAAGAAUAUUCCGGCAAUGGGGGGAAACCCUGACGGAGCGACGCCGCGUGGACGAGGAAGGCCGGAAGGUUGUAAAGUCCUUUUGAACCGGAAGAAUAAGCAGUGCAGGGAAUGGCAGUGUGGUGACGGUACGGUUUGAAUAAGAGGCGGCUAAUUACGUGCCAGCAGCCGCGGUAACACGUAAGCCUCGAGCGUUGUUCGGAAUUAUUGGGCGUAAAGGGCAUGUAGGCGGUAAUCUAAGCUUGGUGUGAAAGGCAGGGGCUUAACUCCUGGACAGCAUUGAGAACUGGAUUGCUAGAGUUACUGAAGUGAAAUCAGAAUUCCAGGUGUAGGGUGAAUCUGUAGAUAUCUGG